rnacentral:lncRNA from 1 species
GGGCUGGCCAGAUGCUUAGGCUGAGUCAGUAUCUCCCAGUGAGGUGCCAUUUGAGGGGUGCUGAAAGGCCCCUUACUUCCAAAUAUUUCACUCCCCAGGCCUGCUGGAAAACCUAAAAUUCCCAUAAUUUGGACUAAGGCACUAUGUCUCCAAAAGGCCUCUGUAAAAAUGUAAUGUUAUUGGAAAGAGGUCAUAUGGAGGGCAGAGUGGGCUGGCUUCACUAGAAUGCCCUAUCUCAACUCUUUUCUAUAGCCUUCAAGUCAGGAACCAAACCAUUGGGGUUCUAGUGCCCUAUCGCUCAGGUUAGCUAUGGACCACUCAGAAUUAGGCCCAAGGCAAACUGGGUUAGGAGGCCUGGAGAGUCACCACUAUGCAAUUGGGGGGCUGACAGGGGCAUGACCCAAGCCAGUCUGAGUCAGAAAUCAAGUAGAGUCAUGACAGGAAUAAUCAUGGCUAAUAUUUAUAAAGCAAUUUACUAAUGUUAUCUUAUUUAAUCCCGAUAACAACCCCGUGAGGUAGGUGCCAUUAUUAUCCCCAUUUUCCAGAUGAGCAAACAGGCUGAGGGGCUAAGUGGCUUGCUUGUUUAAUGUCACCGAGCAAGUGUCUGAUGAGAAAUUCAAACCCAAGUCUUCCUAACUACAAGUCCACUGCUCUGUCUAAUGCUUUACUCUGCCUCCUUAGAAAGGAAGAAGGAAGAAGCAGGGGAGGCAGGAUCCAAGAGGAACAGGUUGAAAAGCUUGAACCAACUCUGGAGCAGAAGCUGAGUGCUAACAGGUGCUAAUGCAACAUACCUCUAUGUUAACACUGAAGACAGUCUGUCACUGUGGAAAGAGCACUAGUCUUACACUUAGGAGACCUGAGUUUGAGUCCUGGCUUCCCACUUGCUAUUUGUAUGACUAUGGGUGAGUUACUCCUUCACACCACCA